GCGGCCGUAGCUUAGCCUGGAAAAGCGCUGCCCUGUCACGGCAGAGAUCGAGGGUUCAAAUCCCUUCGGCCGCG
rnacentral:tRNA from 1 species